rnacentral:rRNA from 1 species
GAUGACAGAAUGCUUAACACAUGCAAGUCGACUCGAGUCUUCGGACUUGGGUGGCGCACGGGUGAGUAACGCGUAAAGAACUUGCCUCUUAGUCUGGGACAACAUCUGGAAACGGAUGCUAAUACCGGAUAUUAUGGUUUUUUCGCAUGGAGGAAUCAUGAAAGCUAGAUGCGCUAAGAGAGAGCUUUGCGUCCCAUUAGCUAGUUGGUGAGGUAACGGCCCACCAAGGCAAUGAUGGGUAGCCGGCCUGAGAGGGUGAACGGCCACAAGGGGACUGAGACACGGCCCUUACUCCUACGGGAGGCAGCAGUGGGGAAUAUUGGACAAUGGACCACAAGUCUGAUCCAGCAAUUCUGUGUGCACGAUGACGUUUUUCGGAAUGUAAAGUGCUUUCAGUCGGGAAGAAGUCAGUGACGGUACCGACAGAAGAAGCGACGGCUAAAUACGUGCCAGCAGCCGCGGUAAUACGUAUGUCGCAAGCGUUAUCCGGAUUUAUUGGGCGUAAAGCGCGUCUAGGCGGUAAGGAAAGUCUGAUGUGAAAAUGCGGAGCUCAACUCCGUAUGGCGUUGGAAACUGCCUUACUAGAGUACUGGAGAGGUAGGCGGAACUACAAGUGUAGAGGUGAAAUUCGUAGAUAUUUGUAGGAAUGCCGAUGGGGAAGCCAGCCUACUGGACAGAUACUGACGCUAAAGCGCGAAAGCGUGGGUAGCAAACAGGAUUAGAUACCCUGGUAGUCCACGCUGUAAACGAUGAUUACUAGGUGUUGGGGGGUCAAACCUCA